rnacentral:rRNA from 1 species
UGGGGGAUAUUGCACAAUGGGGGAAACCCUGAUGCAGCGACGCCGCGUGGAGGAAGAAGGUUUUCGGAUUGUAAACUCCUGUCGUUAGGGACGAUAAUGACGGUACCUAACAAGAAAGCACCGGCUAACUACGUGCCAGCAGCCGCGGUAAAACGUAGGGUGCAAGCGUUGUCCGGAAUUACUGGGUGUAAAGGGAGCGCAGGCGGGAAGACAAGUUGGAAGUGAAAACCAUGGGCUCAACCCAUGAAUUGCUUUCAAAACUGUUUUUCUUGAGUAGUGCAGAGGUAGAUGGAAUUCCCGGUGUAGCGGUGGAAUGCGUAGAUAUCGGGAGGAACACCAGUGGCGAAGGCGGUCUACUGGGCACCAACUGACGCUGAGGCUCGAAAGCAUGGGUAGCAAACAGGAUUAGAUACCCUGGUAGUCCAUGCCGUAAACGAUGAUUACUAGGUGUUGGGGGAUUGACCCCCUCAGUGCCGCAGUUAACACAAUAAGUAAUCCACCUGGGGAGUACGACCGCAAGGUUGAAACUCAAAGGAAUUGACGGGGGCCCGCACGAGCAGUGGAGUAUGUGGUUUAAUUCGACGCAACGCGAAGAACCUUACCAAGUCUUGACAUCCUGCGACGGUGCUGGAAACAGUACUUUCCUUCGGGACGCAGAGACAGGUGGUGCAUGGUUGUCGUCAGCUCGUGUCGUGAGAUGUUGGGUUAAGUCCCGCAACGAGCGCAACCCUUAUGGUCAGUUACUACGCAAGAGGACUCUGGCCAGACUGCCGUUGACAAAACGGAGGAAGGUGGGGAUGACGUCAAAUCAUCAUGCCCUUUAUGACUUGGGCUACACACGUACUACAAUGGCGUUAAACAAAGAGAAGCAAGACCGCGAGGUGGAGCAAAACUCAGAAACAACGUCCCAGUUCGGACUGCAGGCUGCAACUCGCCUGCACGAAGUCGGAAUUGCUAGUAAUCGCAGAUCAGCAUGCUGCGGUGAAUACGUUCCC